GACGAACCGUGCGAACGUUGUUCGGAAUCACUGGGCUUAAAGGGCGCGUAGGCGGCUUGUCAAGUCAGGGGUGAAAUCUUUCGGCUUAACCGGAAAAGUGCCCUUGAUACUGACAGGCUCGAGGGAGGUAGGGGCAUGUGGAACUUCUGGUGGAGCGGUGAAAUGCGUUGAUAUCAGAAGGAACGCCGGUGGCGAAAGCGACGUGCUGGACCUCUUCUGACGCUGAGGCGCGAAAGCUAGGGGAGCAAACGGG
rnacentral:rRNA from 1 species